UACGAAGGGGGCUAGCGUUGUUCGGAAUUACUGGGCGUAAAGCGCACGUAGGCGGAUAUUUAAGUCAGGGGUGAAAUCCCAGAGCUCAACUCUGGAACUGCCUUUGAUACUGGGUAUCUCGAGUAUGGAAGAGGUGAGUGGAAUUCCGAGUGUAGAGGUGAAAUUCGUAGAUAUUCGGAGGAACACCAGUGGCGAAGGCGGCUCACUGGUCCAUUACUGACGCUGAGACGCGAAAGCGUGGGGAGCGAACAGG
rnacentral:rRNA from 1 species